UGGAGCGUGUGGUUUAAUUCGAUGCUACGCGAAGAACCUUACCCGGGUUUGACAUACAGGUAGUAGGGAACUGAAAGGGGACCGACCCUUCGGGGAGCCUGAACAGGUGCUGCAUGGCUGUCGUCAGCUCGCGUCGUGAGAUGUCCGGUUAAGUCCGGUAACGAGCGCAACCCUUGCCGUAUGUUACAAGUGUCAUACGGGACUGCCGGUAUCAAGCCGGAGGAAGGUGGGGAUGACGUCAAGUCAGCAUGGCCUUUAUAUCUUGGGCAC
rnacentral:rRNA from 1 species